rnacentral:rRNA from 1 species
UCCGCAGGGGGUUUCCCAAGUUUGAUGUGAAAGCCUACGGCUCAACCGUGGAAUGGCAUUGAAAACUGGGAGACUAGAGGGCCGGAGAGGAAAGCGGAAUUCCAGGUGUAGCGGUGGAAUGCGUAGAUAUCUGGAGGAACAUCGAUGGCGAAGGCAGCUUUCUGGACGGUUCCUGACCCUCAUGGACGAAAGCCGGGGGAGCAAACAGGAUUAGAUACCCUGGUAGUCC